rnacentral:misc_RNA from 1 species
AUUUCGUACCAAGUUUAAACUUUAAGAACCUGCCCUCUUAUGAUAUGCCCCUAAAAUAGUUGAAAAGUUAAUCAAACACACUCUAAGAUAACAUUCCAAAAUCACAACAGCACAUACCCAUUUACUUAUUUUCCUUCUUGAUCUGUUGUUCCUUGACAGCGGCAUCGUUGCUUUGCUUUGGGAUUGGUUGAAUUCUCACAUAUGGCUUCCUUGUCAAUGUCUCUCCCUUCAAAGCAGCAACAUAGCGAUCAUUUGUGUCUUCUUUCCUUUGCAGCUCACCUAGAUAUUCAGCCAGUCUCUCUCG